CCCCCUCCGCCCCCGUCCGGGGAAAACGCUCCCUUCCCUAAACCCUUAAUAGGAUUGGCGCCCAACUAUCUCCGCGCCUCUCCCCAUCCAUCACACACAGAUCAAGUUGCAGUAGUGGAUUUUUCAAAUUCCUCAGCAAAUAUACUUGUUGAGAGAUUGACUGGAGCGGGGGGGUUGCGGGGAGAAAUGAUGAGUGGGGGUGGGGAUAAAAGUGGGGGGGGGCACAAGGACCACGCGAGGGAUUAUGUGCGGAUCCCUUCGGGAAGUCAAGCGGAUUUCGGGGCGGAGGACAGGGGUGGGGAGGGAGGAGGAGGUGGAGGAGGGAAGCGAGGAGGGGGGUCGAAGAGGAGAGCCUGACCGAGGGGGAAGAGGCGACAGGGCCUGAUGAGGGGGAGGAAGGAGCGAGGAAGAAAGAAAGGCAGGCUCCCGGACGCGUCGUGCGGAGAAGUGCAGUUAGAAGUUUACAAGUGGCUGGCUGCAGCCCCUCCACACACAGCACACUCCCCUAAGACACACUCCGACUGCCGACCUCCCGGAGCCUCACAGCAUCCCAGCCUCCGGUGCUAACCCCCACCUCCCUUAAGAACAGCUCCCGGUUCGGGCGUGGUGGAGACCAGGCGGGGGCUGGCCCGGCUGUGCACCGGUAGAAGAGAGGCUCUUUCCCCCAGGUAGGAAGGGAGAUGCAAAAUCGCUCCCAGACCACGAGUUCCUAGUCCCGGGACUCCCCGCUUAUUUCGCCGCCCGCCUUAGCCAAAACCCUAAGUGGGGCCGUCCCACUAGUACCCAGGUUCCCUCUGUUUGGUGCCCCCAUCCCCGCGCCGUGGCGCGAAUACCCAGCCGAGGGACCCUACAGGACCGCACAGCGUCAGAGCCGGCUCGGGAUCGGCCAAGAGACUCCACUCGAGCUGCGGCAGCCAGAUGGAAGUAAUCAGAACCUAACAACAACAAAGGAAGAAGGAAGAAAAAACCUCGCUGAAUUUUCGGGCCAAAACCAGCUAAACUCCUGCUGGAAUCCAGGCACUCCCAUAACCAUUCCUGGCUUAUUUUGGCAAGAAAGUGGCUGUCGAGUUGAAGACGGAAUGUUUUUGGUUUGAGGAGAGGCUGUAGUAGACACCAUGCCUUAAUCUCUAGAUGAUCAGAAGCAUGGGCUCUGGAAAAAAACAACAGAAGGUUUGGAGCAGAGGCAAACUGGAAUAGCAGAGAAAGCCUUCAUCUGAGCAUUGGGACACCAGUUCCUAGUCCCAGAUCUAAUACUAAAUGUACGAAUUUGGGCUAGUCUCAGUCCAUUCCAUCAGCAGCUUUCUGUGCGCCAGACGCUGUGUUAAGUUACAUAACACCACAAUGAGAGAGACUGAUGGGAUCCUUCCCUUCAUGAAACUUAAUGUUUCAUUGAUAACCACAAACAAAUAUGUAAGUACAAACUGGGUGAAGAAGAAAUAGAGUUCUCUAAGACCUUAUGAUUGGUGACCUGUGUUAGCAUGGGAGGCAGGGGUGGUGGGCCCAGGGAAGGCCUUCCUGUGAGGUUGCACUGAUGUGAGGAAGGAAUGAAGGACAGACAACAAAAGAAAAAAUUAGACCAAUGGAACUACAAUAAACUAAAAGUCUUCUGCACAGCAAUAUAAACAAUCAGAAGAGUGAAAAGGCAUCCUGUGGAAUGGGAGGCAAUUAUUUGUAAACCAUACAUCUGAUAAGGGGUUAAUUUCCAAAAUAUGUAAGGAACUCCUAAAACUCAACAGCAAAAAAAAGAAAGAAAGAAAAG